CCCUUAGAUGUUCUGGGCCGCACGCGUGCUACACUGAGUGGAUCAGCGGGUCAGGUUGCGCGAAAGCGUUUCCUAAUCUUUAAAUCCGCUCGUGAUGGGGAUUGACGGUUGCAAUUUUCUGUCAUGAACGAGGAAUACCUUGUAAGCGCGGGUCAUCAUCCCGCGCUGAAUACGUCCCUGCCCUUUGUACACACCGCCCGUCGCUCCUACCGAUUGAGUGGUCCGGUGAGGCUUUGGGAUCUGAGCGGAAAGAGCGUUUCGCUGUUUCUGCUCGGAAAACUCAGGCGAACCUUAUCAUUUAGAGGAAGGAGAAGUCGUAACA
rnacentral:rRNA from 1 species